rnacentral:rRNA from 1 species
UACGAAGGGUGCAAGCGUUAAUCGGAAUUACUGGGCGUAAAGCGUGCGUAGGCGGUUAUUUAAGUCUGCUGUGAAAGCCCCGGGCUUAACCUGGGAAUGGCAUUUGGGACUGCAAGGCUUGAGUGCGGCAGAGGAGACUGGAAUUCCUGGUGUAGCAGUGAAAUGCGUAGAUAUCAGGAGGAAUACCGAUGGCGAAGGCAGGUCUCUGGGCUGACACUGACGCUCAUGCACGAAAGCGUGGGGAGCAAACAGG